UUUCCGUAGGUGAACCUGCGGAAGGAUCAUUAACGAGUUAGGGUCUUCCAGGCCCGACCUCCCAACCCUAUGUUUAUUGAACCUCUGUUGCUUCGGCGGACCCGUCUCACGACCGCCGGAGGACCGCCGCGAGGCGUCCUCUGGCCAGCGUCCGCCGAUGGCCAACCACUUAACUCUGAAUGAAUCGUGUCAUUAUGUCUAAGUCUAUGAUUAAAUUAAAGCAAAACUUUCGACAACGGAUCUCUUGGUUCUG
rnacentral:misc_RNA from 1 species